rnacentral:rRNA from 1 species
UACGUAGGUCCCGAGCGUUGUCCGGAUUUAUUGGGCGUAAAGCGAGCGCAGGUGGUUUAUUAAGUCUGGUGUAAAAGGCAGUGGCUCAACCAUUGUAUGCAUUGGAAACUGGUAGACUUGAGUGCAGGAGAGGAGAGUGGAAUUCCAUGUGUAGCGGUGAAAUGCGUAGAUAUAUGGAGGAACACCGGUGGCGAAAGCGGCUCUCUGGCCUGCAACUGACACUGAGGCUCGAAAGCGUGGGGAGCAAACAGG